AAUGAUGUGUGUGGAAAUCGAGGCCUGCCUUCCGGGACUAGAACCUCAAGGCUUCUUUUGUUUGCAUUGGGCAGGUACAGCACCAAUGAAGGGGAGACCUGGAAGACGUUUGUCUUCUCCGAGAAGCCUGUGUUUGUGUAUGGGCUUCUCACAGAACCUGGUGAGAAGAGUACCGUCUUCACCAUCUUUGGCUCAAAUAAGGAGAAUGUCCACAGCUGGCUCAUCCUGCAGGUUAAUGCCACCGAUGCCUUGGGGGUUCCCUGCACAGAAAACGACUACAAGCUGUGGUCCCCGUCUGAUGAGCGGGGAAAUGAGUGUUUGCUAGGACACAAAACAGUUUUCAAAAGGAGGACCCCCCAUGCAACGUGCUUUAACGGGGAAGACUUUGACCGGCCAGUGGUCGUGUCCAACUGCUCCUGCACCCGGGAGGACUAUGAAUGGUGUGUUCCUCCUCCAUGGCCAGGACCUUGAGUUGUGUCAUAUCUGCUCUGCAGUGUGAGGCUCAAAGAUGGGAGAGCAUGUUCUGUUUCUCAGAGGAAGGGAAUAGCAUUCAUUGAGUGUGCCUUCUGAGCCAGGAACUGUGUGAGGCACUUUUUACUUCCGUUGUCUUCUAAUUCUACAGCCAUCCAGUUGAG
rnacentral:lncRNA from 1 species